AACGAACGCUGGCGGCAUGCCUAACACAUGCCAGUCGAACGAGACCUUCGGGUCUAGUGGCGCACGGGUGCGUAACGCGUGGGAACCUGCCCUUAGGUCCGGAAUAACUCCCCGAAAGGGGUGCUAAUACCGGAUAAUGUCUUCGGACCAAAGAUUUAUCGCCUUUGGAUGGGCCCGCGUUGGAUUAGCUAGUUGGUAGGGUAAAAGCCUACCAAGGCGACGAUCCAUAGCUGGUCUGAGAGGAUGGUCAGCCACACUGGGACUGAGACACGGCCCAGACUCCUACGGGAGGCAGCAGUGGGGAAUAUUGGACAAUGGGCGAAAGCCUGAUCCAGCAAUGCCGCGUGAGUGAUGAAGGCCUUAGGGUUGUAAAGCUCUUUUACCCGGGAUGAUAAUGACAGUACCGGGAGAAUAAGCUCCGGCUAACUCCGUG
rnacentral:rRNA from 1 species